rnacentral:rRNA from 1 species
GUCUAUGGCCAUGCCACCCUGAACGUGCCCGAUCUUGUCUGAUCUUGGAAGCUAAGCAGAGUCGGGCCUAGUUAGUACUUGGAUGGGAGACUACUUAGGAAUACCAGGUAUUUGAUGCC